AUAAAUACAGUGAAAAGAAAUAGUAGAUAUCUCAAAGAAGCAUAGAGAAUCCUUGGCUGGUGUAAAAGGAUGUUUGAGGGAUAUUGAAUUCAUCUUGGAGUAGAGCGUUGAAUGAAGUAGGCGUUUCCGGUCACAACCGUUAUAUUGUCAGAGUAUGAUAGUACUCGUUGAGCUAUAUCUAGUGAUAGAUAUAUAAAAUAAGGUGGUAACACGAAGAUACACUCUCGUCCUUAUA
rnacentral:ncRNA from 1 species